rnacentral:lncRNA from 1 species
UCUGGACAAAUUGUACCUCUAGAAUGCUGUGAUGGAGAGAAAGGCAUCAUGAAUAAAGGAACCAUACAGAUUUCACAUAAGGUUUGGAGCAAUAGGGAAAAGGAAUCAUUCCUGACUACUUUGAAGCCAUGGGACUGUACGGGUCAUUCACAAAUCAGGAACAUGCAACACAGUCCAUGAACUACUGAUUGAUAAAAGCCAUUUGGGUGGUGAGUAUGAAGAGGACCCAGUCUGAUUAUUUCUGUUUUGAUUUUGCUCCUCUUUCCCUUAUUCUACCACCUGUUUUACCAGCUAAAACCCCUGAGACCCUAAAAGAUAACCCCUCUUUUGGCUCGGCCCAU